rnacentral:lncRNA from 1 species
UAUGAAUUUACCUGUUUGAAGAUAUGAAUGGUUUGUGCCAGGUUAGAUCAGGUCCUUUUAAGCUGCCUGCGUUCUCCUAGUCCUCAUUCAAGAUGAGCUGUUCUUCUACCUUAUAAUUAUAAGUGUGUGUUGUUUUAUAAAGUCCACUCCGGUCAGCUAUCAGCCGUGACUUUAUGUGCUGUAUGUUACAUAGUAGUAAGCAAAGUGUCUGGCUGAAGCUAGCUCCUACAAGCUCAUUAGCUAGCUUGCUAUCUCAUGUUGGAUUAGACAAAUUGAUAAUAGGACAUGCAACUAUGAAGAAAAGAACAUGAACAGCUGUGAAUCACCAUGAAUUGCAACGCCACUGAGCCCAGGAAACAGCUGUGAGGACUAACCACCUGCUUCGAUGAAAGGGGUGUGUGAGUUAGGACCCUGGGUUUGGGAACGGAUGGCUGGGGCUGAGAGCAGAGCAGUGGAGGGUGGAAUGGAGAGAUGGUGGGUAUGUGGAUCCCAGGGGGAUGCAGGGUGAGUCCCUAUGGAACUAUCUCAGUGCCAUUGAUCCAAUGAUUUCAGCCCCACCCUCCACAACUAUAAAGAAUGGCAGUGGGACCAUUGUUGCUUAUCAUGGUUCUUCCUGCUACAGAAUACUGUAGAUGGGAUACUAAGUCCUCAAGCUGUGAUGUCUCUUGUCAGCAACCAAAAUCAAACUGGACUCUGUUAUCGCCUGUUUCGACUUAAUCUGUCUGUUAUAAUUUCACAUAAAUGCUAUUGACUCGCUGUUAACAACUCCUUAUCUCUGUGCAUCUUCCCUGAACGUGUGUAUGAGAGAGUGUGUGUGGGAGGCAGGGUGCUGCUGGCUACUCCUGUUGGUCAUGGCUGACGCGUGAUCGAGCUUUAUUCGUACCCAGGGCAUGAGCGGAACCAUAACCGCACUGCAUGACCAAGCGCCUCCACCUGUGACAUUGUGAUGGAUGGGCUAGGCUGGCCUCCUUUAGCAUUAGCUUAGCAUCUUCAACCUCUCCAGGACACUCUUACCAUUAACUGUAAUUAGCAUAAACUCAUUACUGUCACUUUAACUACACUGGGGAACAAAGUCCUGUUUGAAUU